rnacentral:rRNA from 1 species
GGGUUGUGAGGUUAAGCGACUAAGCGUACACGGUGGAUGCCCUGGCAGUCAGAGGCGAUGAAGGACGUGCUAAUCUGCGAUAAGCGCCGGUAAGGUGAUAUGAACCGUUAUAACCGGCGAUUUCCGAAUGGGGAAACCCAGUGUGAUUCGUCACACUAUCAUUAACUGAAUCCAUAGGUUAAUGAGGCGAACCGGGGGAACUGAAACAUCUAAGUACCCCGAGGAAAAGAAAUCAACCGAGAUUCCCCCAGUAGCGGCGAGCGAACGGGGAGGAGCCCAGAGCCUGAAUCAGCAUGUGUGUUAGUGGAAGCGUCUGGAAAGGCGCGCGAUACAGGGUGACAGCCCCGUACACAAAAGCGCAUGUGCUGUGAGCUCGAUGAGUAGGGCGGGACACGUGGUAUCCUGUCUGAAUAUGGGGGGACCAUCCUCCAAGGCUAAAUACUCCUGACUGACCGAUAGUGAACCAGUACCGUGAGGGAAAGGCGAAAAGAACCCCGGCGAGGGGAGUGAAAAAGAACCUGAAACCGUGUACGUACAAGCAGUGGGAGCCCCACCACCAAAGCAUUCUCUGGUGUUGAAGGCCCUGCAAAGCAGCAUCGCGGUGGCGGAGCGUCGUUUGCGACGCCCAACACACAAAACAAGCUGUGAGUGCUUUGGGGUGGGGUGACUGCGUACCUUUUGUAUAAUGGGUCAGCGACUUAUAUUCUGUAGCAAGGUUAACCGUAUAGGGGAGCCGCAGGGAAACCGAGUCUUAACCGGGCGUUAAGUUGCAGGGUAUAGACCCGAAACCCGGUGAUCUAGCCAUGGGCAGGUUGAAGGUUGGGUAACACUAACUGGAGGACCGAACCGACUAAUGUUGAAAAAUUAGCGGAUGACCUGUGGCUGGGGGUGAAAGGCCAAUCAAACCGGGAGAUAGCUGGUUCUCCCCGAAAGCUAUUUAGGUAGCGCCUCGUGAAUUCAUCUCCGGGGGUAGAGCACUGUUUCGGCUAGGGGGCCAUCCCGGCUUACCAACCCGAUGCAAACUGCGAAUACCGGAGAAUGUUAUCACGGGAGACACACGGCGGGUGCUAACGUCCGUCGUGAAGAGGGAAACAACCCAGACCGCCAGCUAAGGUCCCAAAGUCAUGGUUAAGUGGGAAACGAUGUGGGAAGGCCCAGACAGCCAGGAUGUUGGCUUAGAAGCAGCCAUCAUUUAAAGAAAGCGUAAUAGCUCACUGGUCGAGUCGGCCUGCGCGGAAGAUGUAACGGGGCUAAACCAUGCACCGAAGCUGCGGCAGCGACGCUGAUGCGUUGUUGGGUAGGGGAGCGUUCUGUAAGCCUGCGAAGGUGGCCUGUGAGGGUUGCUGGAGGUAUCAGAAGUGCGAAUGCUGACAUAAGUAACGAUAAAGCGGGUGAAAAGCCCGCUCGCCGGAAGACCAAGGGUUCCUGUCCAACGUUAAUCGGGGCAGGGUGAGUCGACCCCUAAGGCGAGGCCGAAAGGCGUAGUCGAUGGGAAACGGGUUAAUAUUCCCGUACUUGGUGUUACUGCGAAGGGGGGACGGAGAAGGCUAUGUUGGCCGGGCGACGGUUGUCCCGGUUUAAGCGUGUAGGUGUGUGUUCCAGGUAAAUCCGGUUCACUUUAACACUGAGGCGUGACGACGAGGCACUACGGUGCUGAAGCAACAAAUGCCCUGCUUCCAGGAAAAGCCUCUAAGCAUCAGGUAACAUCAAAUCGUACCCCAAACCGACACAGGUGGUCAGGUAGAGAAUACCAAGGCGCUUGAGAGAACUCGGGUGAAGGAACUAGGCAAAAUGGUGCCGUAACUUCGGGAGAAGGCACGCUGACACGUAGGUGAAGUGAUUUACUCACGGAGCUGAAGUCAGUCGAAGAUACCAGCUGGCUGCAACUGUUUAUUAAAAACACAGCACUGUGCAAACACGAAAGUGGACGUAUACGGUGUGACGCCUGCCCGGUGCCGGAAGGUUAAUUGAUGGGGUCAGCGCAAGCGAAGCUCCUGAUCGAAGCCCCGGUAAACGGCGGCCGUAACUAUAACGGUCCUAAGGUAGCGAAAUUCCUUGUCGGGUAAGUUCCGACCUGCACGAAUGGCGUAAUGAUGGCCAGGCUGUCUCCACCCGAGACUCAGUGAAAUUGAACUCGCUGUGAAGAUGCAGUGUACCCGCGGCAAGACGGAAAGACCCCGUGAACCUUUACUAUAGCUUGACACUGAACAUUGAGCCUUGAUGUGUAGGAUAGGUGGGAGGCUUUGAAGUGUGGACGCCAGUCUGCAUGGAGCCGACCUUGAAAUACCACCCUUUAAUGUUUGAUGUUCUAACGUGGACCCGUUACCCGGGUUGCGGACAGUGUCUGGUGGGUAGUUUGACUGGGGCGGUCUCCUCCUAAAGAGUAACGGAGGAGCACGAAGGUUGGCUAAUCCUGGUCGGACAUCAGGAGGUUAGUGCAAUGGCAUAAGCCAGCUUGACUGCGAGCGUGACGGCGCGAGCAGGUGCGAAAGCAGGUCAUAGUGAUCCGGUGGUUCUGAAUGGAAGGGCCAUCGCUCAACGGAUAAAAGGUACUCCGGGGAUAACAGGCUGAUACCGCCCAAGAGUUCAUAUCGACGGCGGUGUUUGGCACCUCGAUGUCGGCUCAUCACAUCCUGGGGCUGAAGUAGGUCCCAAGGGUAUGGCUGUUCGCCAUUUAAAGUGGUACGCGAGCUGGGUUUAGAACGUCGUGAGACAGUUCGGUCCCUAUCUGCCGUGGGCGCUGGAGAACUGAGGGGGGCUGCUCCUAGUACGAGAGGACCGGAGUGGACGCAUCACUGGUGUUCGGGUUGUCAUGCCAAUGGCACUGCCCGGUAGCUAAAUGCGGAAGAGAUAAGUGCUGAAAGCAUCUAAGCACGAAACUUGCCCCGAGAUGAGUUCUCCCUGAGACUUAAAGUCUCCUGAAGGAACGUUGAAGACGACGACGUUGAUAGGCCGGGUGUGUAAGCGCAGCGAUGCGUUGAGCUAACCGGUACUAAUGAACCGUGAGGCUUAACCUUACAACGCCGAAG